CGAGAAUAGAACCGCCUAUUAAUACAAGCAAAUCCUAUUUAAACGCAUUGCCUUCCUGCACGACUAAGGCUGUGGACUUCAGAUUGUUGGUAAUUUAGAAUUGAGAAGAAAAGAAAAUCAUUUCGGAAGAAGUCCAGAGAAAAGAACUUGGACUCAGGAUGAUUAUAGCCAUUCUUUACCUUUGAAAUUGCGCUGGGUGUUAUUAGGUGAUCUAUAUUCCCUCCCCUUGAACCUCCCUCCCAAGGCGAGGCAUUCCGGCCAUAAUGAGGUUGGCAAGUCUCCUCUGUUUGUUCUGUUCAGUCGUUUCCCAGUGAGAAGGGAUAUGAAAUUUUGCAGGGGUGAGGGAGAUCGUUUCUGUCCCUUCAUUUCCUGGAGCCAAUCCGAAUGAAGACUCAGAGAGAAGGGGAGAACGAGGGGUGGCCAAGACCAGAAAUGGGAACAAGAAAGUGAGGAGAUGGGAAGGAGGAGCACCAAAAGCAUCCUGGGCUGAAAAGGAGAAGAAGCUGGAGAUGUGUCAUUUUCACUGUUACGAUUGUCUAUUGUAUUUUAUAUCUGAGCACUUUUAUGGAGGAAGUAUACACACUUUUUCUAUAAUGGCUUAUAGAAAAUUUAUCUUUAGUUAAAUGUACCUGUUCCUCAUUGGAUUUUUUUGUCCAUUUAUUCCUUAGCAGAUCUGCAGGCAAAAGAAACAAAACGAAACUCUAUAAAUGUAAUAGUGAAUUCCAAUUGUUUUUCAAGUUUAUUCAGUUAUUAAUAGCCAUGGAAUAGCUAUAUGUUUGUAUCCAUCUUUUUAUUAAAUACAUAUUCUUUAAUGCCAUAAUCACUAAUCUUCCUAAUUUACUAUUUUUUUAAACUUUCUAUACUCUUUAUUCGCAUUUUUUUGUGGGGGGUGAACUUUGCUUCUGAAAAGAGUGUACCUCAAUCUAGCAGAAGUUAGCCAUUGGUCAAUGCCCAUGGAUCAGCCAUGGAAUGAUUUGUCCUUAUGACAAGAUCUUAGCCUUUCACAGUCAUGUCCAUCUAACAAAGGGCAUAGAAUCUCAUCAAGUUUUUCUCUCAUGCUCUAUGGACCGUCCUCAACAACUUGCUUGGAACAUGCCAGUCCCAGCCUAGUGAUGGCUAGCCAGCAGAUUAUGGCGAGUACAACUAACCCCUAUAAAACAAUCUAUUUAGGAGCUCCAGUCAUGACUCAGCAGAAACAGAUCUGACCAGCAUCCAUUAGGACACAGGUNAGCCAGCAGAUUAUGGCGAGUACAACUAACCCCUAUAAAAUAAUCUAUUUAGGAGCUCCAGCCAUCACUCAGCAGAAACAGAUCUGACCAGCAUCCAUUAAGACACAGGUUCGAUCCCUGACCUUGCUCAGUGGGUUAAGGAUCUGGUGUUGGCCUGAGCUGUGGUGUAGGUCGAAGAUGGGGCUUGGAUCCUGCGUUGCUAUGGCCAUGGCGUAGGUUAUCAGCUACAGCUCUGAUUCAACCCCUAGCCUGGGAACCUCCAUAAGCUGCAGGUGGGGCCCUAAAAAGAUAAAUAAAUAAAUAAUCCUGUUUAAAUUUCUUUGCUGG
rnacentral:lncRNA from 1 species